CUUUAAUAAUUUGCUUCCGGCAGAGGGCUACAGCCCUCACUGGCCUGGCCAGGACGGGAGCGGCUCCGCCUCUAGGGCACCGGGAAGGCGACUGGAAAGAGAUAGGCUCCGGCCAUGGCGGCGCCGGGCGCACUGCUGGUGAUGGGCGUGAGCGGCUCGGGGAAAUCGAUCGUGGGCGCUCUGCUGGCAUCUGAGCUGGGGUGGAAAUUCUAUGAUGCUGAUGACUAUCAUUCGGAGGAAAAUCGAAGGAAGAUGGGAAAAGGGAUACCGCUCAAUGACCAGAGGAUGUAGCCUCGGGACAGCAUGUGGUUCUAGCCUGAAGAAAAUGUACAGAGACAUACUAACACAAGGAAAAGAUGGUGCAGCUCCGAAGCGCAAGGAGUCGGGAAGGGAAACGAAGUGGGCUAAGAUACAGCUCCUGGUGGUCCAUCUGAGUGGGUCAUUUGAGGUCAUCUCUGAACGCUUACUCAAAAGAAAGGGACAUUUUAUGCCUCCUGAAUUAUUGCAGUCCCAGUUUGAGACUCUAGAGCCCCUGGCAGCUCCAGAAAAGUUUAUCCAAAUAAGUGUGAACAAAAAUGUUUCCGAGAUAAUUGCUACAAUUAUGGAAACCCUAAAAAUGAAGCGAGAAUGAUUUUGUAUCAGUGGUCCAGCCAUCCAAAACCUCAUUCCAGCCUCCUUGGCCAUAUUAUAUUCUAAAUUUUUCUUAAGGCAAACAAAACCCAAUAUGUCAAGACAGAUUUUUUUGGGUGUAAUUUUAGGAAUUAUCCUGGUUCACUGGGAAGCAGAGGGGGAGUUUUAAAAGUCAAAGCUUAAAUUGAAGUUAAAGUUCAUCUGUAACCCAAUUGAAUGAUCAGAGGAAAUUCUGUAAUUGAUGCUGAAAAUCAUUACAUUGUUUAGAACAUCCUUGCUCAUGCCUGUAUUUGCACAAAUAAAUGAAACUUGGCUG